rnacentral:lncRNA from 1 species
AUCGGAGGCGGCACUGAAGAAGCUGAAGACAGGUAGCGGAUCCGAUGAAUUGCAGGCGUUGAGAAGUCACAGUUUUACGACCGAGGAAACAUAGUCUUCUUGAAAACAUGUUUUUUACUGAUAAGCCAAACUAUAUUAUCCCACACGUUUGCUACUUAAUCAUGCGACCAAAAAUCAGUUUUAGCUAGGAUGGAGUCUCCAUCCUUUUCUACAAGCGACAUUAUCUCCACU